rnacentral:lncRNA from 1 species
CCGUCUAUCCCUGGUAUCUGCUUCAUUCGCCAGUGGCUCGUCUUACCUCCCCUCUCCCCUCCUCUCCCCCCCCCCACACACACAACCGUCAUUCCACACACACACACACGCGCACACACACACAUGCAACCAGGAGCGAUCCGAGGCUCUCCUGGCGCUGAGCCGUCGCGCGGAUAUCUUAGUGGCUCGCUCGUCCAAAUGCGCCAGGGUGGCCGGUGACUUGGGUACGGCACUGGCGGCGGAGGCGGAAGUGGAAGCGGCGGCGGAGGCGGUGGGCCCUACACCAGCGACGGCUCUGCAGGUCGCGGCGGAGGGGUUGGCAAAGGUACGGUACGGCAAGCUGUACGGCAGUGCCUUUAUGAUGUGUGAAACAGGGGGGUGUAUCUUCGCCCGUGGCAGCUACCCUGCGAAACCCUGCCUUCCCCGGUAUUUCGGGGCACCCUCAUCCAAUCACCCUAGUCAACUUCUCAGUGGAUCGCUCAGGUUCCGCACCCACCACCAGCAUCCAACGGAAUCUGCCGGGUCGACAGCGGCCCAACUCCAUUCCUGGUCGGCUCGCAGGUUACCUUUAUCCCAGGUCACCACCGUCCAUCAACUAGGGGCGCAAUACCUUCCACCAUCGGAAGGACUUUUGACCCUAACGGGUAUCGAUCCCGGGAUCUCCCGGGGGCAAUGGUCGCGCCUUACCAGUGGUGCCAAACCCUUGUAUAUAUGUAUGCAUGCAUUCAUAUACGCAUGCCGUACUCAGUCGGAUAAUGUACGCCGCGUUGGUGCGUAUUGUAUGCUGUAGAUCAGCAAGUUGUACGGCGUCGCCACUGACGCCUCCGCCAAGCACUUGACGCCGAUACAUGACUGGCUGGCGGCGGUGCCCGGCGCGACGGCGGCGCUGGCGGCGCGGGAGAGGUGCUUGCUGACGUUGGCGACCCUCAGGACAGACGAGAUAGAGGCGAGGGCAAAGCUGGCGGAGGCGGAGGCGCGGACCGGCGGCGG